GUUAUCCAAAAGAUUCCAAUAGUAAUUAUGAUGAUUAUUGUAAAAAAAUGAAAGAUAUGAAUAACAAACCGGUGUCAAGUACUACAUUUGACCAAUUAGUCAGAGUUUCAAAAUUGAUGAGGAAAAAUCCCUUCACAUUUGAUGUCACGUCUGUUACCACAAAUGUGUAAUGACUUAUCACUAAUGGUGCAUGUUCAAAAGGAUCAAACCCGUAUAAUUAAAAUAAAAUAAAAUAUGAAUCCAGACAUUCAAUCAUUUUUCGCACGUAUUGCCCUAUUACAAUUUACAAUAUACCUAUUGUUAUGGCUAUGAACAUGGCUACCUAAUCGCAGUGUUCGGACUUAUCUAGGUGAAUAUCUAGAUAAUUAUUUGUUCAUCUUUUAUCUUAUCUAGAUAAAUAGUUA